rnacentral:rRNA from 1 species
GGGGGGUGCAAGCGUUGUUCGGAAUUAUUGGGCGUAAAGCGCGUGUAGGCGGUUUGAUUAGUCUGAUGUGAAAGCCCUGGGCUCAACCCAGGAAGUGCAUUGGAAACUGUCAGACUUGAAUACGGGAGAGGGUAGUGGAAUUCCUAGUGUAGGAGUGAAAUCCGUAGAUAUUAGGAGGAACACCGGUGGCGAAGGCGGCUACCUGGACCGAUAUUGACGCUGAGACGCGAAAGCGUGGGUAGCAAACAGGAUUAGAUACCCUGGUAGUCCACGCCGUAAACGAUGAGUACUAGGUGUUGCGGGUAUUGACCCCUGCAGUGCCGCAGCUAACGCAUUAAGUACUCCGCCUGGGAAGUACGGUCGCAAGACUA